CUGAAGUUCUGAGGCAAAGCUUUGUUCUUAGUGGAAAACAAAUUGAAAAAUGAGCCUGUUCUUCCUGAUGGACAGUCGAAGCCUGCUGCUGGCAUCAUGAUCCCACAGUAAACUUGAAGAGGUGCAUUAUGCAAGGACUAUUACCAGAGCAACCACAUACUCCUGCUGACUAUAGCUGUUGUUUGCUAGUUUGCUCAGUUAGCCAUGUAGCUAGCGGGUCAGACUGGGAGCUCACAGACCUUUAUUUACACCAUGAGCACUGAGCUUUGAAACAGGAUGGGGCAAGCUGGUUAGCAUGCUGCAUAAGAUAUCUCCACAACACCGCACAUAGAUAUAAUACACAAAACUGCUUUUUCCUCAGAAUCUGUCCAUAAUUUUUGAAGGAUUUCAACUAAAAUUCUAACAUAUUGCACCCUUAACUGGACAACAGAAGCUCAACUUGUGUGUAAACAGCCACAUGCACUUAGAAACACAUGGCUCAGCUUGACCAAUUCUCCAUUUAACACUGCAAAGAGCUAAUGCUGAUGCAUGGAGGUACUGCCCACUCUUAUCUUGGCCUGCAUGUGCUUCAUAUUUAAUGCAUUCUUUAGGUGAAACUAUGAAACAUGCGCCAUUUGCAUCUGCAUUUCUUUCCACUUUGCAUGGGCGAACCACAUCUUAUUUUAUGUUUAACAAGGACUGAUGACAGAGGGCAGCUCAGAAAAUGAAAACAACAAACUUCUUCUGAAAAUGAAUCAUACAACAGAGGAUCAAGAAAGAAUAUUUGCAUAUAAGGGCUAUGGUAUAAAAGGGCCAUGGUGUAAAAAAAUCGAAGUGAGAAAUUUCCCAAACGAGUGUCAACGUUACUGUAAGCUGCAGGCUUAUCUGUCGAUUCACACAUUAGACUACACCUACUGCACAAAUACACUGGAAGGCAUUGUGGCAGGAAGAAGACAGAUUAGGACAGUGCACAAUCUGCUUUUGUGUCCAGGUAUUGAGCAACGGGACUGAAAGCUUCAAAGCAUUCAGAAACCAACCGAUUUCAACCUGGACGACAGUGUGUGAGACUGUGCAUGCGUGUGUGUGCUGUUUUCUAUGGUCCUGCUGCCAUUGUCAGCUGUUGCGUUCUGCCUGUGGUCAGAGCAGUGACGUCUACAGAUGUUCCACAGAGAUAGGACAUUUAAUUUGGGUGUGUGUGUGUGAACGACAGGAUAGAAAAAGAUAUGCAGACUGCUGCUGCUGCUGCUGCUGCUGCUGCUGCUGCUUUGUGGAGAACCACAAGCUCGCUGCUCUUGCAUCAAUUUGAGGAGACGUCAAUUUAGGAGUUUGAAAAAUGCAGAUGACAUCCCUCACACAAGACACCAGAUCCCAGUCCUCUGUUGAAUUGUGCCUCAUGCACACGUCCUCAGGCACUGACACACUAACGACCACAUACAUUCUUGGCAUUCUCACAAGAGCCAAUUACGGCUCCCCAGACUGGCAGCUCUGGAUGCUCGGCAAGCCGGCCGAGAGUCCGAGACAGUGACUCGCUGGAUUCUUUCUUAAUUAUCAUCACAAAAACUCCCCAGAUCCUGAGCGCAUAAUGCAGCGGCUGGGUUUUCUAAAGCCGUGCAAAUUGGCGAGGAGGGCACGCAACCAAAUGCUCUGUCGGACAUUAAUUCAGAAAUUCGAAACCACUCCCACCCGAGGACGACACAAUAAAAGCCUGUGCAGCCAUUUCUCUAAACAACAUUAGGAAGCCAGGGAGCUGCUGCACACAAACACACCUCAGACUGGGAUACAGUGAGAGGAAGAAAAAAAAAUCAGGCUGACUCUGCACUGUGUGUUUGUCUGGAGGUGUGGCGUGUUUGGACGGGAAACUGGCUUUGAUCCCACUUCCUGUGUAUCUCCAGGAAGUGAGAUAGGAGAUAAAACUCAAGGUGAGCACCUGUGGCCAUUGCUGUUGCCGUGUGUCCCCAACUGCUGGCUCGACUCAGUGACCUUUCAGUGAAUUAUUCUGCCUCUAAGGGUCAGAAAGAAGGAGAAGAAGCAGACUGGAAAACAGCCAAACCUUUACACCCACCUCACAAUGUCAUCCCUCUAACACACACACAUUAGUA